rnacentral:rRNA from 1 species
GGGUGCGAUCGUACCAGCACUAAUGCACCGGA